rnacentral:rRNA from 1 species
AGAGUUUGAUCAUGGCUCAGAAUCAACGCUGGCGGCGUGCCUCAGACAUGCAAGUCGAACGCGAAAGGCCCCUUCGGGGGCCGAGUAGAGUGGCGCACGGGUGAGUAACACGUGGGUAAUUUGCCUUCGGGUGGGGAAUAACAGCCGGAAACGGCUGCUAAUACCGCAUAAUGCAGCGGCACCUUAUGGUGACAGUUGUUAAAGCGGGGAAUCCUUCGGGACCUCGCGCCUGAAGAGAAGCUCGCGGCGGAUUAGCUAGUUGGUAGGGUAAUGGCCUACCAAGGCGACGAUCCGUAGCCGGCCUGAGAGGGCGGUCGGCCACACUGACACUGACACACGGGUCAGACUCCUACGGGAGGCAGCAGUCGGGAAUUUUGGGCAAUGGGCGAAAGCCUGACCCAGCAACGCCGCGUGAAGGAUGAAGUCCCUCGGGGUGUAAACUUCACAAGAAUGGGAAGAAUAAGGCGGUGUUAACACCCCCGCCGAUGACGGUACCAUUUGUAAGCUCCGGCUAACUCCGUGCCAGCAGCCGCGGUAAUACGGGGGGAGCAAGCGUUGUUCGGAUUUACUGGGCGUAAAGGGCGCGUAGGCGGCGCAACAAGUCGGUUGUGAAAUCUCCGGGCUUAACUCGGAGCGGCCAACCGAUACUGUCGUGCUAGAGUGCGGAAGGGGCAACUGGAAUUCUCGGUGUAGCGGUGAAAUGCGUAGAUAUCGAGAGGGACACCUGCGGCGAAGGCGGGUUGCUGGGCCGACACUGACGCUGAGGCGCGAAAGCUAGGGGAGCGAACGGGAUUAGAUACCCCUGUAGUCC